rnacentral:rRNA from 1 species
AUUGAACGCUGGCGGCAGGCCUAACACAUGCAAGUCGAGCGGAUGAAGGGAGCUUGCUCCUGGAUUCAGCGGCGGACGGGUGAGUAAUGCCUAGGAAUCUGCCUGGUAGUGGGGGAUAACGUCCGGAAACGGGCGCUAAUACCGCAUACGUCCUGAGGGAGAAAGGGGGGGAUCUUCGGACCUCACGCUAUCAGAUGAGCCUAGGUCGGAUUAGCUAGUUGGUGGGGUAAAGGCCUACCAAGGCGACGAUCCGUAACUGGUCUGAGAGGAUGAUCAGUCACACUGGAACUGAGACACGGUCCAGACUCCUACGGGAGGCAGCAGUGGGGAAUAUUGGACAAUGGGCGAAAGCCUGAUCCAGCCAUGCCGCGUGUGUGAAGAAGGUCUUCGGAUUGUAAAGCACUUUAAGUGGGGAGGAAGGGCAGUAAGUUAAUACCUUGCUGUUUUGACGUUACCAACAGAAUAAGCACCGGCUAGCUUCGUG